AGUUUUUGUUGAUAGCUUGCAUAUUUUUGAAAGGCAGAAAUUGUUUUUGCAAUUUUCGCUUCAUUUUGAACCAUUCUUGGAUCUUUCCUUUAUCCUUCCUAAUUCUUUGAACUUGGAGUUGUUCCACCAGGUUGAAGCUCUCCCUCUUAGCUUUAUGGAGACUUAACUUCACCUCUUAGAAUCUUGGACUUCAUGGUACUCAUAGAUCCUCUUAAUUUGAUUCAACCAGUCCAAAGAUUCUUCAGUAUUCAGGCUCCCUUUGUAUUUUGGAAGGUCAACUUUGAUGUUUGGCUCACAUUUUGGUUUCUCUUUGAGGAACUUGCAAAUGCACAAGACCUGGCCUUGGUUCUUGCACAGGCACUUUCUGAUUUCUUUUCACAGUCAAGGUAGCAAUCUGCCCCCCUUAGUAGCUCCACAGUCUGCUCCAAUGUCACCUGGGGGUUCUUCUUCUUGGUUUGGUUGCAGCUGCCUGGGAUGAACCUGCACCUUAGGUUCACAUGUUGCCGAAAUUUUUUUGUUCCUUCUAUUGUAUACUGCUGGUGCCAUCUACACAAAUCCUUAAGGUCACUAGUAGAGAAUAAGAAAAUGAGUGCAAUGAUUGAAUCUUGACUUAUUCUAUAGGAUAGAAAGGACUAGGAAGGACUUGAAUUCUGAAAUGAAUCUCAAAUUCUGAUAACAAAUUAUGAUGGAGGAAAAUGGUGAAAAUGAAAGCUAAGUUGCUUAGAGAA